rnacentral:rRNA from 1 species
GACGAACGCUGGCGGCGUGCUUAACACAUGCAAGUCGAACGCUGAAGCCCUUCGGGGUGGAUGAGUGGCGAACGGGUGAGUAACACGUGGGUAAUCUGCCCUGCACUCUGGGAUAAGCCUUGGAAACGGGGUCUAAUACCGGAUAGGACCCAUCGCCGCAUGGUGUGGUUGUGGAACGUUCCGGCGGGGCAGGUUGAGCCCGCGGCCUAUCAGCUUGUUGGGGGGGUGAUGGCCUACCAAGGCGACGACGGGUAGCCGGCCUGAGAGGGUGACCGGCAACACUGGGACUGAGACACGGCCCAGACUCCUACGGGAGGCAGCAGUGGGGAAUCUUGCGCAAUGGGCGAAAGCCUGACGCAGCAACGCCGCGUGGGGGAUGACGGCCUUCGGGUUGUAAACCUCUUUCGACCGGGACGAAGGAUUCGUUUGACGGUACCGGUAGAAGAAGCACCGGCUAACUACGUGCCAGCAGCAGCCGCAGUAA